GGUUCCAUAGUGUAGUGGUUAGCACCCUGGACUUUGAAUCCAGUAACCCGGGUUCGAGUCCCGGUGGGACCU
rfam:Eimeria maxima Weybridge genomic scaffold, Emw_scaff100